rnacentral:tRNA from 3 species
GGCCGCAUAGUUCAAUGGAUAGAAUGUCAGAUUCCGGUUCUGAAGAUAGAGGUUCGAGUCCCCUUGUGGUCACAA